rnacentral:rRNA from 1 species
GACAGAGGGUGCAAACGUUGUUCGGAUUUACUGGGCGUAAAGCGCGUGUAGGCGGCUUUGCAAGUCGGAUGUGAAAGCCCACGGCUCAACCGUGGAAGUGCAUCCGAAACUGCAUGGCUGGAGUCUCGGAGAGGAAGGUGGAAUGCUUGGUGUAGAGGUGAAAUUCGUAGAUAUUGGGUGGAACACCGGUGGCGAAAGCGGCUCACUGGUCCGGUUCUGACGCUGAGGCGCGAAAGCGUGGGGAGCAAACAGG